AGCGAACGCUGGCGGCAGGCCUAACACAUGCAAGUCGAACGGACCCUUCGGGGUUAGUGGCGGACGGGUGAGUAACACGUGGGAACGUGCCUUUAGGUUCGGAAUAGCUCCUGGAAACGGGUGGUAAUGCCGAAUGUGCCCUUCGGGGGAAAGAUUUAUCGCCUUUAGAGCGGCCCGCGUCUGAUUAGCUAGUUGGUGAGGUAACGGCUCACCAAGGCGGCGAUCAGUAGCUGGUCUGAGAGGAUGACCAGCCACACUGGGACUGAGACACGGACCAGACUCCUACGGGAGGCAGCAGUGGGGAAUCUUGCGCAAUGGGCGAAAGCCUGACGAAGCCAUGCCGCGUGAAUGAUGAAGGUCUUAGGAUUGUAAAAUUCUUUCACCGGGGACGAUAAUGACGGUACCCGGAGAAGAAGCCCCGGCUAACUUCGUG
rnacentral:rRNA from 1 species